GUCCCCCAGGUCCCCGCCCCCCAGGUCCCGGUGGUCCAGGCCCCGGCCCCCCAGCCCGUGGCCCCCCAGGCCCGCUCCGCCCCCCUGAGGACCAGGUCCUCCUCCAAGAGGAGAUCCAGGACCCACCGCCAUCAGAUGUGAACAUGAACACACCGCAGACGCACAACACGCGUCUACAGGUCUCAAUGAAGAGUCCUCAGGAGGACGUCUCAGAGGUGCAGUGCUGGAGCGCAGAGCUCCUGCUCUACUCAGUAUUUAACAUAUACACAGAUACAUAUACAUAUACAUAUAUAUAUAUAUAUACACAUGUAUAUAUGUAUAUAUACAUACAUAUAUAUGUAUAUGUAUAUGUAUGUGUUGGUACAUACAUGUAUAAAGAUGGCCUCAGAGUUCAUGUCAACUGCUCAUGCCUCGCAACUUUCUUGUACCGGUUGUUCUGGUACUGGUUCUUGUACCGGUUGUUCUGGUACUGGUUCUUGUACUGGUUGUUCUGGUACUGGUUCUUGUACCGGUUGUUCUGUGCAUUAAAAUCCCUCUGAGCAAA